CCUACGGGAGGCAGCAGUAGGGAAUUUUCGGCAAUGGGGGGAACCCUGACCGAGCAACGCCGCGUGAACGAAGAAGGAAUUCGUUCUGUAAACUUCUGUUAUAAAGGAAGAAAGACGGAUGGAGGAAAUGACAUCCGAGUGACGGUACUUUAUGAGAAAGCCACGGCUAACUACGUGCCAGCAGCCGCGGUAAUACGUAGGUGGCAAGCGUUAUCCGGAAUUAUUGGGCGUAAAGAGGGAGCAGGCGGCAGCAAAGGUCUGUGGUAAAAGACUGAAGCUUAACUUCAGUAAGCCAUAGAAACCGGGCAGCUAGAGAGCAGGAGAGGAUCGUGGAAUUCCAUGUGUAGCGGUGAAAUGCGUAGAUAUAUGGAGGAACACCAGUGGCGAAGGCGACGAUCUGGCCUGCAACUGACGCUCAGUCCCGAAAGCGUGGGGAGCAAAUAGGAUUAGAUACCCCAGUAGUC
rnacentral:rRNA from 1 species